AGAUGAUAGAGGACUCAUUCAGAUAGAGACCAUCUUUAUGAUCCACUUGAACCAGUAAAAGAUGCAAAGAAAUUUGGGCCUGAAAUUAUGCAUUUUAAAGCCAUCCUUAAUCAAGCCCAUCGUCACAUCCAUAAUCACCUUAAACCGGUCCACUGACUCGCCGAAAAAGCGCCUCAUGUUAUCUUGGUAGAACAACAAUCAUAGAGUGGCCUCUCCUUUUCUUGCAACAAGUUGUCACUCCAUGCCAUUUCAUCUAUGAUGCAAAGUGGGGUGGAAAAUAACGAUGAUUAUACUUCAACAGCGACGUAAAUUGUGU
rnacentral:lncRNA from 1 species